GUGCCAGCAGCCGCGGUAAUACGUAGGGUGCGAGCGUUGUCCGGAAUUAUUGGGCGUAAAGAGCUCGUAGGCGGUUUGUUGCGUCGGCUGUGAAAACUCGGGGCUCAACUCCGAGCUUGCAGCCGAUACGGGCAGACUUGAGUUCGGCAGGGGAGACUGGAAUUCCUGGUGUAGCGGUGAAAUGCGCAGAUAUCAGGAGGAACACCGGUGGCGAAGGCGGGUCUCUGGGCCGAUACUGACGCUGAGGAGCGAAAGCGUGGGGAGCGAACAGGAUUAGAAACCCCCGUAGUCC
rnacentral:rRNA from 1 species